rfam:Microvirga sp. V5/3M, complete genome.
UAUCGUAGCCCUUCGUGGGCGUUUCCUCCCUAAACUUCGGGCCGCUGGCAACAGUGGCCUUUUUUCUUGUCUGGA